AAGUCAGAGACCCCGGAUCGUCCAUCUCUGAGAGCUAUUUCGACCUUAACCGCCCAAGCGUCUUCGUUAAGAAAUCUGGAGAAACCAUUCCCAGUCAUCAACAAGGAGGGAGUUCGGCCAACCAGGAGUUAGACAUGCGCUGACCACAAGGGGGCGACACGGAACAUGGCAGGUGUUGGCACUGGCAGUGGGCAGCAGUGGAGGGGCUGCCGGCCCUGAUAGGACCCAACAAGAGCGGGACUGCGGUGGAAUGGUGGAGCAGGGCACGUGAGGCGAUUAGAACAAUGAUUGUCUCCUAUGAGGCUCUCAGCAGAAGUAGCUGACAUCGCUGUUGAAACGCAACGCUCACCUGCAGGAACUAAGUGCAUGCAACGGCAAAGAUGGAAAUGCCGUGUGGAUGGCCCGCCCCCUCUGGCAGUCAGGAGAAAGCCACGUUCCUCCCAGGCCUGUUGAGGAUACUGGAUUCUUGGAAGGCCGCGCAAACCUUCCAGCAUGCGGAAAGGAAUCGAUAAGCACCCUCGGAAGGUUUGCUUCCCUCCGUGGCCAGUGAUGCACAUUUAUCUCUGCCUGCAGCUGAGGGGCUCUGAGCAUUGGGAGCGGCUCACCUAGCAGUGGCCUCUCCCCGCAGGCUGCAUGUGGAAUCAGAACAAAGGAGGGUGGCUGCUCCUAGAAAGCACUGGAUCCAGCUGCGGGUGCGCCUCGCCAAGGCUCCCACGUCCACGCUUCUAGUGUGCAAACACCCAGAUGGCCAGGGAGGGGACCACCCACUGAUGGAAAAUGGCUGCCUCCCCCUCAGAGGGGAUUUCUGGCCAUGUCUGCCUCCCUCCCCCCCGCCCCCCAAGCACUGGGCCAAUCCCCUCACUUACAGCAGCCCCUCCUUUCCAUCUAAUGGGAGAGUGGGGUAAGACAGGCGGCAUUCAUCUCAUAGACCCACUGGCCACAAGGAAGUUAGAAUUUGAUUGCAGGGCUCAAAUAAAAC